rnacentral:lncRNA from 1 species
AUGUCAAAAAUGAGCAACCUAAAAGCAAAACCAGAAUUUGUGUGCACUCUGCCAAAAAGUGCACUGGACAAGCUUAUUCAGGUUAGGAAAGCCUUCCAAAACACUCUCUCUGAAAAUCAACUUUUAAAAGAGGGUACAAAGACAGCCAGACAGCAAAUCAAACAGCUGAUGGCCCAAAUUUCACUGGUGCGUGCCAAGCUGGACCAGUAUGAGAUCCAAGCUGGAAAACUCACUGAUGAAUCAGUGACACGCAAAGUGGAAAUGAGCAGCGCCACCAAAGAAAAAGGGGAUCAGACUUACUCAGGUCAGACCAUCACCUUUGACCUUGAGAUGAACCGUCUGAAACAGCAGCUUCAGCAGAGGGACAGCGAAAUCCUGAUCCUCAAACAGGAGAAGGACAGUCUGUCUGCCGAAUUUGCACAGCUUCAGACACACGAGAAACCAACAUUUGUGUGCACUCUGCCAAAGAGUACACUGGACGACCUUAUUCAGGUUAGGAAAGCCUUCCUAAAAGCUCUGUCUGAAAAUAAACUUUUAAAAGAGGAUUCAAAGACAGCCAGACAGCAAGUCAAACAGCUGAUGGCACAAAUUUCAAUGAUGCGUACCAAGCUGGACCAAUAUAAGAUCCAAGCUGGAGAAGAAAGAGAGGAUCAGACUUGUUCAGAUCAGGCAAAGAUCACAACCUUUGACCUUGAGAUGAACUGUCUGAAAGAGCAGCUUCGGCAGAGGGACAGCGAAAUCCUGAUCCUGAAACAGGAGAAGGAAAGUCUGUCUGCUGAGCUCGGACAGCUGCAGAAACACGAGGCCUCUCUGAAAGAAACUCUGUGGAAUGAGAAAACACACAGAGAGAAUCUGGAGCAGGAGAAGAAAGUCCAGCAGGAAGAAAAUAAGAAAGUCCUGGGAGAGCAGAAAGUGGUGAAGGACACAGAAGACAUGCAGAAAAAACUGGACGAGCAGACCAAAGAAUUAGCGGAGGCAAAGACAGAGGCAGUAGAGACGGCAACCCCAGAGUCGUCCUCAUCAAAGGCUGAAAUAUCAACACUGGAGAAAACACAGAAAGUGGUGAAGGACACAAAAGAAAUGCAGAAAAAACUGGACGAGCAGACCAAAGAAUUAGCGGAGGCAAAGACAGAGGCAGUAGAGACGGCAACCCCAGAGUCGUCCUCAUCAAAGGCUGAAAUAUCAACACUGGAGAAAACACAGAAAAUGGAGGAAAAGUUGUGUGUCAACAGACUGAUCCAGUUGGUGGUUUCAAAGGCCAUAGAAAAAGUCUCCUCUAAAUACAAGCUCUUCACAGAGCGCCUCACUCCUGACUGCAUCAGCGAUCGCCUGAUUCAGAAAAUCUGGCCUGAAAUCGAGCUGAAACAUUUGGAUCUGUCCCCAAAACAGCUGAAAAAUCUUGACAAGGCCAUUCUCAAGGAUCUAUGCAUAGCACACAGCUGCAAGGACAAACAUUUGAUUAUGAAGCUGAGGGAACAGCUUGAUAAUAUUACUGUCCCAGCCUUCACCAAAAAGCUGCUGUCAUUACCAAGAAGAGUCCUCAGUGUCUCUAAACACAGAGAAGAGUACAAGGAAGUGGUGAAACACGUCACUCAAGCUCUGGUAAUGCACGCUAUGAGCCAAGAAAAUGAGACGACAACAUGGCGUCCAGGAACAUCAGAUUUUAUUAUACAGAGGCUUUCCCACAAGAUCUGGAACAAAAUUCUGUCCAAAAACUACAAAAUGUCCUUGGAGAACAUUGAACAACUCGCCCUGUCAGUAUACAACGAACUCCAUGACAGGUGGGAUUCUCCAGGACUCUUAAUGAAGUCGAGCAACCCAGUGGUUGACGAAGCAAUCGUCAAAACCUUCAAAACACAUGCCAAACUGAGGAGCCGAAACAUCAUCUUUAGGGCUUUCUCGUGUGCACGCUAA